GAGGUACUCCCUCCGUCCGAAAAUACCUGUCAUCAAAAUGGACAAAAAGUAAUGUAUCUAAAAUUAAAAUAUAUUCAGAUACGUUCCCUUUUAUUCAUUUUGAUGACAAGUAUUUCCGGACGGAGGGAGUACGUA
rfam:Triticum aestivum genome assembly, contig: Triticum_aestivum_CS42_TGACv1_scaffold_406319_5BL